GAUGAACGCUGACAGAAUGCUUAACACAUGCAAGUCUACUUGAACUUCGGUUUGGGUGGCGGACGGGUGAGUAACGCGUAAAGAACUUGCCUCACAGUUAGGGACAACAUUUGGAAACGAAUGCUAAUACCUGAUAUUAUGAUUUUAGGGCAUCCUAAGAUUAUGAAAGCUAUAUGCGCUGUGAGAGAGCUUUGCGUCCCAUUAGCUAGUUGGAGAGGUAACGGCUCACCAAGGCGAUGAUGGGUAGCCGGCCUGAGAGGGUGAACGGCCACAAGGGGACUGAGACACGGCCCUUACUCCUACGGGAGGCAGCAGUGGGGAAUAUUGGACAAUGGACCAAAAGUCUGAUCCAGCAAUUCUGUGUGCACGAUGACGUUUUUCGGAAUGUAAAGUGCUUUCAGUUGGGAAGAAAAAAAUGACGGUACCAACAGAA
rnacentral:rRNA from 1 species